rnacentral:lncRNA from 1 species
GAGAGGAGAGAGGAAGAGUUUUAAUUUCUCAAAAUUUAAUUAAUUGAAACCCUAAGAAACUAUCUCUUUAUAUAGACCCUUCCUUGAUCCAGAUCAAGAACCAAUCAACCUAAAAAGGCUAGUUCUUAUCUCAUAAGAAUUUUUACCUUUUUAAUUUGAUUAUUUUUUAUUAAAAUCAGACUUAAUUGAUAGGAUUUAAAUCUCUUUUGAUAAGC